rnacentral:lncRNA from 1 species
UAGACAUCAAUAAUCAUCUUUUACAACUUUCAAGUAAUCAUUGAUCAUAUCAAAAUUUAAUAAGAAAGAAGUCAUAACCCUUGAAUUAUUGACCUUCAGCGCAUGCACAUGAUAUAAUAUUCAAAUUAGACUGAUCCAAAAAUUUAAUUUCCUAAUUGAUUUUAUGAUCAUACAUGUGAAUAAAAUUUUCAAAUCAACAAAUAAAGACUAGAUAUACAUUUGCGGAGUGACAUUGAAUACUUGCAAGCCGUGGACUGUGGUUCUAUACAUUUGUACUUUUAGGAUUAGAAAAGAUUUAUGUACCUAGAGAUAACUGUACAUGAACAUAUACACCACUAGCUUCCC